AGUCGACGGACCCUUCGGGGUUAGUGGCGGACGGGUGAGUAACACGUGGGAACGUGCCUUUAGGUUCGGAAUAGCUCCUGGAAACGGGUGGUAAUGCCGAAUGUGCCCUUCGGGGGAAAGAUUUAUCGCCUUUAGAGCGGCCCGCGUCUGAUUAGCUAGUUGGUGAGGUAAUGGCUCACCAAGGCGACGAUCAGUAGCUGGUCUGAGAGGAUGACCAGCCACAUUGGGACUGAGACACGGCCCAAACUCCUACGGGAGGCAGCAGUGGGGAAUCUUGCGCAAUGGGCGAAAGCCUGACGCAGCCAUGCCGCGUGAAUGAUGAAGGUCUUAGGAUUGUAAAAUUCUUUCACCGGGGACGAUAAUGACGGUACCCGGAGAAGAAGCCCCGGCUAACUUCGUGCCAGCAGCCGCGGUAAUACGAAGGGGGCUAGCGUUGCUCGGAAUUACUGGGCGUAAAGGGCGCGUAGGCGGAUCGUUAAGUCAGAGGUGAAAUCCCGGAGCUCAACUUCGGAACUGCCUUUGAUACUGGCGAUCUUGAGUAUGAGAGAGGUAUGUGGAACUCCGAGUGUGUGGGUGAAAUUCGUAAUUAUUCGGAAGAACACCAGUGGUAGAGGCGACAUACUGGCUCAUUACUGACGCUGAGGCGCGAAGGCGUG
rnacentral:rRNA from 1 species